rnacentral:rRNA from 1 species
UACGUAGGGUGCAAGCGUUGUCCGGAAUUAUUGGGCGUAAAGAGCUCGUAGGCGGUUAGUCGCGUCUGCUGUGAAAACUCGGGGCUUAACUCCGGGCCUGCAGUGGGUACGGGCUGACUAGAGUGCGGUAGGGGAGACUGGAAUUCCUGGUGUAGCGGUGAAAUGCGCAGAUAUCAGGAGGAACACCGGUGGCGAAGGCGGCAUCCUGGACCGAUACUGACGCUGAGGAGCGAAAGCCAGGGGAGCAAACGGG